rnacentral:rRNA from 1 species
GAUGAACGCUAGCGGCAGGCUUAACACAUGCAAGUCGAGGGGCAGCGCGGGAUAGCAAUAUCCUGGCGGCGACCGGCGGAAGGGUGCGUAACGCGUGGGCGACAUGCCCGUUGCCCGGGGACAACCGGUGGAAACGCCGACUAAUCCCCGAUGGGAUAUUGUGCCGCAUGGCACGAUAUUGAAAGUUACGGCGGCGACGGAUUGGCUCGCGUCCGAUUAGCUGGUUGGCGGGGUAACGGCCCACCAAGGCUGCGAUCGGUAGGGGUUCUGAGAGGAAGGCCCCCCACAAUGGGACUGAGACACGGCCCAUACUCCUACGGGAGGCAGCAGUGAGGAAUAUUGGUCAAUGGGCGGAAGCCUGAACCAGCCAUGCCGCGUGCGGGAAGGAGGCCCUAUGGGCUGUGAACCGCUUUUGCCUGGGGGCAAUAAGGGCGUCGCGCACGUCCGAUGAGAGUACCAGGCGAAUAAGCAUCGGCUAACUCCGUG